rnacentral:ribozyme from 1 species
GCAUGCAAUCAAUCACACACGAAAAAUAGAAAAAGAAAGAAAAAGAAAAAGAAAGAAAAAAGAAGGCAAUCAGUUAGCAAGAUAGUCACACCCAACCUCCCCAUAUAUUUUUUUUAAAUUUUUUCUUGGCUUCUGCCUUUUUUUUAAUCGUUUGUUGUUGUUGUUGUUUUCAAUUGAAAAAGG